rnacentral:lncRNA from 1 species
ACCAAUUAAUCUCAAUCUUCCCACUAACUUCAUCAAGUCAGAUCAAGGUAGACUAGAAAUAAGCCGGUCCAACUGACAAGUCAUCAAUUCUCUCACUGACUUCACCAAGUUAUGUCGAGGAUAAAGACAAAUCGAACUAGGGAUACCUAAAUCGAUCAAAUUGAUUUUUUAGUAAGCAUGAGUCAACCCUAAUCAUUAAGUGAUCUGAUCAAAACUUGAUUCAUCAUGUUGGUCAGGUACGUG